GAGGGCAUCUAAGUUCACCCUGUGCCCUGCCCUCGGAUCCUGAGUUUCCAUUGUUGGCAGGAGGAGAAGCUUGUUCAGACUGUGAAGAUGUUCUUCUCAAGCCUGUUUGGCCUGGGCUAUUGCCUCGUAGAUGUUCAACGUUCGUCUGUCAGAAUUCGUUUGUGCUGAAGUUACACCAUGCUGCUGCUCCAGUUGAGACUUCAUCUCUUUUAGCUGCAAGUGGAGUCGCUUCACAUACUCAUCCCUACUCGCAUCGUAUUUCUGCCAUUUUGCAUUUAAGUCUUCCACCUGAAAGAUUACCCAGAAGAGUCAUGAAGACAAAAACUUCCAAGCUUUCACAGACUGUCUAUAUGUGCAGGACCAAAAUUCUCUAGAAGACAAUAUAAUAUGCUGACUCAACCGCUGAGUGUGGUUGAGCCGCUUUACAGGUUGCAGAUAAGAGCUUGAAGUGAAGUUUCAUUGUCUAAAAGCUGUAAUUUUCAGAUAAAGGGAGUGUUACUUUAACAUAAAAAUCCCAAAUGCUACUUAGCUAUGCUGUUAAACUACAUUUUGCCAGAUGUUGACACAUUUCUGCUGUGGAUGCUAAUUUGCGUUGAAGUUGAUGAGUUUCAUCA